rnacentral:rRNA from 1 species
AGCGAACGCUGGCGGCAGGCUUAACACAUGCAAGUCGAGCGGGCCCUUCGGGGUCAGCGGCGGACGGGUGAGUAACUCGUGGGAACGUGCCUUCUGGUUCGGAAUAACUCAGGGAAACUUUAGCUAAUACCGGAUACGCCCUUUUUGGGAAAGGUUUACUGCCGGAAGAUCGGCCCGCGUCUGAUUAGCUAGUUGGUGGGGUAACGGCCUACCAAGGCGACGAUCAGUAGCUGGUCUGAGAGGAUGAUCAGCCACACUGGGACUGAGACACGGCCCAGACUCCUACGGGAGGCAGCAGUGGGGAAUAUUGGACAAUGGGCGCAAGCCUGAACCAGCCAUGCCGCGUGAGUGAUGAAGGCCUUAGGGUUGUAAAGCUCUUUUAUCCGGGACGAUAAUGACGGUACCGGAGGAAUAAGCCCCGGCUAACUUCGUG